rnacentral:tRNA from 1 species
GGAGGAUCAUCCGUCCCCCGGGUGGCGGCUGGACUUCAAAUCCAGUUGGGGCCGCCAGCGGUCCUGGGCAGGUUCGACUCCUGUGAUCUUCC